rnacentral:rRNA from 1 species
AGAGUUUGAUCCUGGCUCAGGAUGAACGCUGGCGGUAUGCUUAACACAUGCAAGUCGAACGGUCUCUUCGGAGAUAGUGGCGGACGGGUGAGUAACGCGUAAGAAUCUACCUACAGACUCGGGACAACAGUUGGAAACGACUGCUAAUACCGGAUAUGCCUUCGGGUGAAAGAUUUAUCAUCUGUAGAUGAGCUUGCGUCCGAUUAGCUAGAUGGAGUGGUAACGGCACACCAUGGCGACGAUCGGUAACUGGUCUGAGAGGAUGACCAGUCACACUGGGACUGAGACACGGCCCAGACUCCUACGGGAGGCAGCAGUGGGGAAUUUUCCGCAAUGGGCGAAAGCCUGACGGAGCAAUACCGCGUGAGGGACGAAGGUCUGUGGAUUGUAAACCUCUUUUGUUAGGGAAG